CUUUAAUUGACCAGUUUAAUUAUUAUUACAAUUAACCUAAUGGCUCAUCAACAAUAAUAUAAACUCAAAAUUUCGGUUGGGGUGACCUCGGAGAAAAAUAAAUCCUCCGAAUGAUUAUAACAUAGACAUACAAGUCAAAGUAACUAAUAUAAUCUUAUUGACCCAAAAAUUUUUGAUCAACGGACCAAGUUACCCUAGGGAUAACAGCGCAAUCCUAUUUAAGAGUUCAUAUCGACAAUUAGGGUUUACGACCUCGAUGUUGGAUCAGGACAUCCCAAUGGUGCAGAAGCUAUUAAUGGUUCGUUUGUUCAACGAUU
rnacentral:rRNA from 1 species